CCGACCUUAGCUCAGUUGGUAGAGCGGAGGACUGUAGUGUUAUCAUAGCUAUCCUUAGGUCGCUGGUUCGAAUCCGGCAGGUCGGA
rnacentral:tRNA from 11 species